rnacentral:tmRNA from 1 species
CACCUUUUUAUUAAGCAAAAGCGUGCUAUAUAUAAAGCGUCGGCUUGCCGACUAUGGCGAUAAACGCUUUGUGGAAUAGACGCUACGGACCCGGGGGCGGUACCCGGCGCCUCCACCACAAUGACCGGUACUGCGGGUCAUUCUUUGGGGGCGAAACAGGAUCGACGUGCGUAGUAAAGACAGAGUUUUUGCCGGGCAUGAUACCGCCCUUAUCGGGUCACUUUUAUAAAUGCCAACGACAAUGUUGACAUGAGCAAUGUUGCUAUCGCUGCUUAAUAUCCGCUUGCGGAAGUAGAGUAGUUAGCACUUGAUCGCGGUCCGGGGGGUACCGGGCAACAGAAACCCCCCAAU